CUUGGUCAUUUAGAGGAAGUAAAAGUCGUAACAAGGUUUCCGUAGGUGAACUUGCGGAAGGAUCAUUAUUGAAGUAUGAGGGUUGUCGCUGGCCUCUAGGGGGCAUUGUGCACACCUUUCUUGUUCUUCUAUUCCACCUGUGCAUUGGUGUAGGCAUGACCCAAGUGGACAUGUUUAUGAUUUUUUAAAUACUACAUGCAAAUUAUAUGAAUGUCAUUGGGAUAAAUAUAAUGUACAACUUUCAACAACGGAUCUCUUGGCUCUCGCAUCGAUGAAGAACACAGCGAAAUGCGAUAAGUAAUGUGAAUUGCAGAAUUCAGUGAAUCAUCGAAUCAUUGAACGCAUCUUGCGCUCCUUGGUCUUCCGAGGAGUAUGCCUGUUUGAGUGUCGUUAAAAUCAUCUCAAAAACAUAUUUCUGUUGUGGUUUUGGACUAUGGGAGGCUGCUGGCUGAAAUAGGCCAGCUCUCCUGAAAAGAAUUAGCUGGGGUACUGCAUCAAUGCUGGUUUCUCCCUUCUCUGGUGUGAUAAAUUGUCCAAACCCAUUGAGGGGUCAGGGUUGACUUUGUGGUCUCUGCUCUCUAACUGUUUGUUUAACACCCUUUUUUUUUGACCUCAAAUCAGGUAGGAAUACCCGCUGAACUUAAGCAUAUCAAUAAGCGGAGGA
rnacentral:rRNA from 1 species